AUCUCUUCCACAUUCCUCCUUCUUAUAAGAGCACAGUAACACUAUCCUGGAAACCUGUACAAAAGGUUGAGAUUGGGCAAAAGAGAGCCAGUGAAGAUACAACUUCAGGUUCACCACCCAAGAAAUCUUCAGCAGGACCAAAAAGAGAUGCCAGGCAGAUUUAUAACCCUCCCAGUGGGAAAUAUAGCAGCAAUUUGGGCAACUUUAAUUAUGAAAGGGGGGUCAAAAAAGACAUCAAGACAUCACCCUAGUAAGACAUAAUGGCAAAAAAAUUGAUUGCAAAAUUGACUGAAAAGGUAUUUUUCAAGCCUCCAAGAUUGUGGAUCAAAAACAGCAAAACCAAGCU
rnacentral:ncRNA from 2 species